GUGGGUGGAUCUGCACUGCACUUCGGGAUAAGCUUGGGAAACUGGGUCUAAUACCGGAUAGGAACCAUCUUUAGUGUGGUGGUUGGAAAGUUUUUUCGGUGUAGGAUGAGCUCGCGGCCUAUCAGCUUGUUGGUGGGGUAAUGGCCUACCAAGGCGGCGACGGGUAGCCGGCCUGAGAGGGUGUACGGCCACAUUGGGACUGAGAUACGGCCCAG
rnacentral:rRNA from 1 species